rnacentral:sRNA from 1 species
AUGAAUAUAUUUGAAUGCUAGGUUCUAAAUGAGUGGAACUGUUUGGAAGGAGUUGGAAGUUGGUCUGUAGAGGAGGUGAGUCACUGGGUGGGGGGAGGGGGACUUCGAGGUUUUAAAAACCAGGAACAUUUCUGGUUACCUCUCUUUCUGCCUCCUACUGUGGAUCAGAUAGAUGUAAGCUCUCAAGUGCUGGUCCAGCAUCAUGCCUACCACCAUGCCACACCCUUUGGAACUGUGAGCCCCAAUAUUGCAAACACAAAAUCCCAUGGGAAUCCUGUGAGAGCAGCAGUCACCAGGAAGAGAGACCACGCCAAGGAGAGCAGUAUCAGUGACUGAAAACAGGCUUCCACUGUAGACAGUCGUCACUCCACUACCUGAAACACACCGCACUGGGAAGACAAGCCAACCGUUCCUGACUGCAGGCUACAGACCUUCCCAUCCUGUGUGCCCUUCCAAUCUUGUCCCCAGCAGGUCUCUGCAGCCUUACUCUGCUUAGCUGCCCUCCUCCUCCUCUUCCUCCUUCUCUUCUUCCUCUUCUUCCUCCUCUUCCUCAUCUUCCUCCUCUUCCCCCCUCCUCCUCUUCCUCCUCAACACAAAGGUCCGUUGUGUACCUCACACAUAUUCUGUACAUGUCAACCACGUGCUCCCUGGCUCUGUCGAAGUUAAAGAACAUUCACUCUCAAGGUAAAUGUCAUCUUCUCACAGACGUGUCUGUGGCCCUGAAACAUCAGCGGCUCCCCAAGCAGCACUUUCAGAUUUUAGUUUUAAGUAAAAUUUAAGUAAUAAAUGUGUGAUUGUUAAAAUAUGUCUGUUCACUGUUUGAAAUAACUGGCUUACAUCUGAGAACAAUAGAUUUAUAAAGGGUGAAAAGUCUUUUUAAAAGGAGUGCAUUACUGAACAUCAAAGUCAGUACAAUAGAGGAUGAUACAAGAAUUUCAAAUAAAAAAUUAUCACUGUAUUUCUUGGGGUUGUCUUUAAUUAAAACUGACUGGUUUUGAUUAAAUACCAUGAUGUGAACAUAGAAUAUUAUAAAAGGAUAAUAAACUCCACUGUAUUGUAUCCUCACUUUCUAUUUAUAAAGAGAAAUAAUGAUUUUUGACAGAAGUAAAUAAUUUCAAUGAUUAUUUAGACAACUGUCAUGUGUAUUGUAAAAAAGCACGUUUGGAGAUAUAAGAAAAGCUUCACAAAGCUUCAUAUUAGGGAGUUUAUCCUAUCACAGAUGGCGAAAGAACACUGCAGGUACUAAUUGUAGGACAUGGGGAGUUCUUCCCUAAUUUAUAAGUCAACAGAAAAAUAAAAAUCCAUGCACUUGUGCAUAGCAAAUAGCACGUUAAAGACAAAGUCACUUAGAAGACUUCACCAACAAUUUGGAAAGCACAACACAUGCAGAGAAGAGGCAAGCAUCAGCAGUGAGGCAGCCAGCCCUGGAUACUGGAGCAUCAGCCGUGGGGUAGGGUAGGGAUGAGGUACAAAAGGAAUGGGGUUCAGAAGCCAAACUUUGAAGAUCAGAGUGAGGCUGUACAUUGGUUUGAGCAGUCUGUGAUGUUUACAUGGGCUGAAUCUGACAUGUGGCCUAUCUCCUGCCCUUUUGUGUAGAAGGCUUUUUGGUCAGGUUUCUUCUGGCUAAGGUACCUUCCACAUCUGCCACCAUCAACGUUCAAUAACUUUCUGUGAAGAUGACAGAAAGACCAACAGAGCACCUAGUUCUAAGAACAUUUCAAUAAUACCCAACUGAAAGAACACUGCUAUUUCUGAGUUCAGCCUCUGACCUCGAUAAAUAUUAAUAUAGAAGGUGCAUGUCUCUGACAAACUGAGAUGAUUACAAUUUUCUAGGAUGUAGGUUCUGAAUACAGACACUAUCUUACAGGACUGCAAACAGAGGGCGGAGGGGACGCUCCCUGCUUACCAGCCCACCAGCCCAAGGCCUCAGAAGUGCUAAGAAUACACCAGCAAAAGCACUGGAUCUAGCUGAUGCUUCGCACAGGCAGGACUGUUAGGAGCUAUGAGACCUACAUUCCCCUGGUCACACCAGGUGAGGCUAGUCGUGCUUCAUGAGCACGCUAACACAUAGGGACCAGAACAUUCACAUCAUUUCAAUGUCCUGCCAGGUGGCCACUUCUGUUGACAGGUAAAGCAGCUAACCCCAAGAGGACCCAUCAAGAAAGGAAAUGGUCUCCAUAGGAGGCCUCCCACCUCUGAGUGCUCACUGCACUUGCCAGUCCCCUCCCCAGGUUGGACAAGCUUUCCUGUCAGUGCAUGCUAUUAUCUUGGAGGGCCAUUAUCCCACACUCUUGGGUAGGGCUGGACCUAGAUGAACAGACAGCUUCCUCUAUUCACACGUGUUUGAGUUUUUAAUUUUAAAUAAAAAUUACAAUAUUAAAAACUGUAAGGACAAGCAGUAUUCUGAUACCUUAGGCUAAUACUGACAAAAGACCUUUUUCUGGUGUUCACAUAACAGCACCUAAGGACCUGCAAUAUUUCAGUGACAGCAAAAAUCCAA